rnacentral:rRNA from 1 species
AUACGGAGGGUGCGAGCGUUAAUCGGAAUUACUGGGCGUAAAGCGCGCGUAGGCGGUUUGGUCAGUCGGAUGUGAAAGCCCCAGGCUCAACCUGGGAAUGGCAUUCGAUACUGCCUGACUAGAGUAUGGUAGAGGGAAGUGGAAUUUCCGGUGUAGCGGUGAAAUGCGUAGAUAUCGGAAGGAACACCAGUGGCGAAGGCGACUUCCUGGGCCAAUACUGACGCUGAGGUGCGAAAGCGUGGGGAGCAAACAGGAUUAGAUACCCCGGUAGUCC